ACUAAAUAGAUACCCCGGUAGUCCACGCCCUAAACGAUGUCAACUGGUUGUCGGGCCUCAUGGCUGGUAAACGUAAGCUAAACGCGUGAAAGUGACCGCCUGGGGAGUACGGUCGCAAGAUUAAAACUACAAAGGAAUUGACGGGGACCCGGCACAAGCGGGUGGGAUGAUGUGGAUUAAUUCGAUGCAACGCGAAAAACCUUAACCUACCCUUGACAUGUAUGGAACCCUGCCGAGAGGUGGGGGUGCCCGAAAGGGAGCCAUAACACAGGUGCUGCAUGGCUGUCGUCAGCUCGUGUCGUGAGAUGUUGGGUUAAGUCCCGCAACGAGCGCAACCCUUGUCCCUAGUUGCUACGCAAGAGCACUCCAGGGGAGACUGCCGGUGACAAACCGGGAGGAAGGUGGGGAUGACGUCAAGUCCUCAUGGCCCUUAUGGGGUAGGGCUUCACA
rnacentral:rRNA from 1 species